rnacentral:rRNA from 1 species
UACGAAGGGUGCUAGCGUUGUUCGGAAUCACUGGGCGUAAAGCGCGCGUAGGCGGCUUUUCAAGUCAGGGGUGAAAUCCUGGGGCUUAACCUCAGAAUUGCCUUUGAAACUGUAAAGCUUGAGUGUCGGAGGGGAUAGCGGAAUUCCUAAUGUAGAGGUGAAAUUCGUAGAUAUUAGGAGGAACACCGGUGGCGAAGGCGGCUAUCUGGACGACAACUGACGCUGAGGCGCGAAAGCGUGGGGAUCAAACAGG